CAAAAAAAAAACUGAAAGUAAUUGCAAGUUGUACCCGACUAGCACAGAAUGAGAAAACACUACCCAAGAUACAUAUCAUUUAAAAUCCAUUAAUAACACAUCCAAACAUAAAGGGUUGAUUCUAAACUGUUUGCCACGCCCCUAAGAAAUACUCAUCACAACAGCCUCGAGCUGGCUGAUAAGUCUACUCAUCAGAAUGAUUACGCUUACGAGUAUCACAGAAACGAACCGGGGUCUCCAACACAUCGGUGACCAGCUGGACCAGAAACAGGACACACUCCUUAAACAAGCGAGUGUUGUUAGCUUUGAGUACAUGAACAGCAGUAUCGUUUAGCAUCAUGCUCAGCCUUUUGACUUUGGCUGAGACCAGAUCCUCCUUGGCAAGCAAUACGCCCAAGGCUUCCUCAAAGCACUUCCUCAAAUGUAAGAGCUUACUUGCUGAGUUCUUAAUGAGUAGGAGGGCUUCCAGGGCACCCCGUUCCAGCUUACCCUCCUGAAGCUUGAGCUGGGGUAACACAUCAUGCUCGAGCUUUUGGAUUUCCAGCGACAAGCCUGCCACGUCCGAGAGGGAAUCCAGCUGCGGGCAUUCCCAGGACCUCGACUCCAUGAUCAGCGGGCGGAGGAGCGCAUACGACUCCCACGCUAUGCGCACCGACUCCAGAGAGACAAGACUCACAAGCAUGGACUUAUUGGAGUGGCCCAGCUCAUCGGAGCGGGCCUGCAGGUCUUGGAUUUGGGCAUGGGAGUGGAUUUUGUAGAGCAUCAUUUCCUUUUGGCGGCGAAGAAGACUGCAGCAGCAGAA
rnacentral:rRNA from 1 species